AGGCCACCAGAUGAUAGUAUUUUAACUGAUUUUUUCAACCAUUUAGAAAGUACAUUAUCUUCAAGUAACUCCUUACACAUACUCCCGCUAAUCGCCAGAAACCGAACUCCUUAAAAGGUCUACGCCGAUGGAGUUCUGGAGCCAGCCGCAUCAACUUUGUCGUUACAUUUUUAUUGAAUUUUCAAUGACAUGUAAUCUACUUAAUUUGUAUUGCACAUUGAAAAGAAACAGUUUUUUCAGUCAGCACUUUGCUGGCUUUUUCUGUCAAAUAAAAACAAUCAAUCAAUCAAUCAAA